GCGCGCUGGUGCUGGGGUUAGGCUGAGGUGGAAGAAGGCAGCCGCGGUGGGCUACUGGCGGCCGCGGUACUUUUUACUUGGCGUGCGUCGCUGGUUUUGUUUGGGUGCUGGGGAGGGGAGGCGAGUGAGGGAAUAGGAGAGGUGGAGGAAGGAAGUCGGCCCCGGCGCGGGUGGGGUACGACGUGCUGCGGGGAGGAGUUCGGGUAGUUACUCGUCGAGGGCCCUUGAAGAGGGGGUCGUUGCGCGUCGUGGGGCCGCGGGGAGGGGUUCGCGGGAGUGGAGGGCGGAGCCCCCAGUGGCCUAGGGCUGCCCUAGAUCAGCUCCGGACGAGUGGUGUCUGCCGCCGCAGCGAGUCGGUGGUGGGUUGGGGCCGCUGGAGGGCGGCGGAAGAUGCGCGUGUCAGUGAGGGGGCGGUACUGGGUCCGUUCGCGGCGGAGGGUGGUGCAGGAGGUGAGGAGGAUGGAGGUCGAGUGGUGGAAGGGGGUUUAAGAGAGGAGGGGGUGCUGGAGGGGAGAGGAGGGGGGUACAGCGGCGGGGCGUCGGAAGAAGGCGAGGCGCGUGGCGGCGGAAGGGGGCACGGCGGCGCGGCGUUGGAAGGGGGCGAGGCGGCGCGGUGACGGAAGGGGGCGAGGCGACGGGGUGGACGAAGGAGGUACGACGGCGCCGCGGUAGCGGACCUACGCGGAGGCAGCGCUUGGAACGGCCACACUGCGACCUGGUCCGCUGCUCCCGCGAUCUACCAAGCAUGUCGCUGCGCCCCGCGUGUAGCACGAGAAGACGUCAGCUCGCACACACCACAACGUCAAGCCUCGCACGUUAGGGCGUCGAGCCGGGAGGGAAGAGAGAGAGAGAGUAGAGAAAGGAAAGACGAGAGGGAGAGGGUCGAACUACACCUGAGGUUGUCCGCUGCUGCUCUGGGGGAAGGAGCACUACGUGAGGCAAAGGGGUCGGCUGGGCCGGGGCUCGAGAGUGGAGGAGAGACGUCACGUCUGGCCGCGUGCGCGUCAAGCGGGGGACUGCCGCACGUCAUGCCUUCAACGCAACGACGUCGUGCGACCGCACGCACGUUGGCACUUCUAUUUUUAGUUUCACCUUAUACUUCAGGCGACACCGAACUUACGUCAGACAACACCUACGGAAAAAUGAGUCUUAACUAAUACACAGAUAAAAGAAAGCUACGCGACGUCACGCGGAGCGGCACGUCAAGCCACCACAAAAAGUCAAGUAAAAAAAACAACGUAGAUGACGUCGCUUUUUUACAAACCAUUUUCUUGUCAAAUCUCGAAAAGGUCUGAAAAAAACAGACGAAAACGACAAGUUAAGGCAGGUUGCCCUCCACAUGCGUGUAUAUAAAGUACGGGUCAUAACGGAAUACACUAAAUGAAUCACAAAUUAGUAUAGAAAAAUCUCUAUAUUCGAUUAGUUGUCGAUUUAUAUUAGUAAUCCCGGUUAAUGGAUUACCCUCUUACUAACGAAGUUAUCCGUAACCAUCAGACGAUGAGACGAAAGUUCUCCUUUACGUCUUCUCUGAAGUGUUCAAUUCACCUUCACUACCUGUUGGAGACCGAACUGUUGGAACACGCGGAGGAACGAAUGACACUACUUCCGGUUAGUUCUUGCGUACAGUUUGUGAUUAUACGUCUCAGCCGGUUCCCUUAUAACUCAGCAUUCUUCAUGAUGUUCACCCUUGUACAAAUCAAAAAGAUACUAAUGGAAAGUCUACACGAUGGUAUGUACCCUGUGGGAUUCUACGUACACAAUAUCUUGUACCUUGAGGGAUUCCACACCUCGAUCUUCUCCACCACAACGGUUUCCGUCACGGUCGAUUACGUGCCUACCGAUUACUUCGGCUAGUGGCGAUCGUCGAUCGUACAUACGUAGUAUAAUGGUGUCUACAGCUCCGUGUCGAACGACUGCCUUGGUUCGUUCAGUUGGUAACGUUAGACUUACGUUUAUAAUAGCUUGUACCCUAAUAUACAUAUCAAAACAUCGUUAUGUGUACGCGAAACCCUACAUUCAAAUUCGUUACUUGUACAUGAAACCCUACUUUACCUAUCCACUUACUUCUUUAUACUUUUUUUUUGCAUACAGGAGUUCACUUUACUAAUAGA
rnacentral:rRNA from 1 species